rnacentral:rRNA from 1 species
CGGAGGAAAAGAAACCAACAGGGAUUGCCCUAGUAACGGCGAGUGAAGCGGCAACAGCUCAAAUUUGAAAUCUGGCCCUUGGGUCCGAAUUGUAAUUUGUAGAGGAUGAUUUUGGUGCGGUACCUUCCGAGUUCCUUGGAACAGGACGCCUUAGAGGGUGAGAGCCCCGUACGGUUGGAUACCUAGCCUCUGUAAAUCUCCUUCGACGAGUCGAGUAGUUUGGGAAUGCUGCUCUAAAUGGGAGGUAAAUUUCUUCUAAAGCUAAAUACUGGCCAGAGACCGAUAGCGCACAAGUAGAGUGAUCGAAAGAUGAAAAGCACUUUGAAAAGAGGGUUAAAUAGCACGUGAAAUUGUUGAAAGGGAAGGAUUUAUGACCAGACUUUUUCUGGGCAGAUCAUCCGGUGUUCUCACCGGUGCACUUUGCCCAGUUUAGGCCAGCAUCGAUUUCCGGAGGGGGAUAAAAGCUUUAGGAAUGUGGCUCCCUCGGGAGUGUUAUAGCCUAUUGUAUAAUACCUUUCUGGGGAUCGAGGUACGCGCUUCUGCAAGGAUGCUGGCGUAAUGGUUAUCAAUCACCCGUCUUGAAACACGGACCAAGGAGUCGAACAUUUGUGCGAGUGUUUGGGUGUUAAACCCUCACGCGUAAUGAAAGUGAACGGAGGUAAGAGCCCUUACGGGUGCAUUAUCGACCGAUCCUGAAGUUUUCGGAUGGAUUUGAGUAGGAGCAUAAAUGUUCGGACCCGAAAGAUGGUGAACUAUGCGUGGAUAGGGUGAAGCCAGAGGAAACUCUGGUGGAGGCUCGCAGCGGUUCUGACGUGCAAAUCGAUCGUCAAAUCUGCGCAUGGGGGCGAAAGACUAAUCGAACCAUCUA